AGAGUUUGAUCCUGGCUCAGAACGAACGUUGGCGGCGUGGAUUAGGCAUGCAAGUCGAACGAAUCCCAGCUUUGUAGCAAUACCGAGCUGGGGGAAGUGGCGAAAGGGGCAGUAAUGCAUGGGUAACCUACCCCGGGGAUGUGGAUAGCCCUCCUAACGGAGGGGUAAUACACGGCGAUCUGGCCGAGGGGCAUCCCUUGACCAGGAAAUGAAUCUCGCCUCGGGAGGGGCUCAUGUCGUAUUAGCUUGUUGGUGGGGUAACGGCCCACCAAGGCAAAGAUGCGUAGCGGGUGUGAGAGCACGACCCGCGCCACUGGCACUGAGACACUGGCCAGACUCCUACGGGAGGCUGCAGUCGAGGAUCUUUGGCAAUGGGCGCAAGCCUGACCAAGCGACGCCGCGUGUGCGAUGAAGGCCUUCGGGUUGUAAAGCACUGUCGAGGGGGAGUAAGCCGAAAGGUUGAACUAUCCCUGGAGGAAGCACGGGCUAAGUUCGUGCCAGCAGCCGCGGUAAGACGAACCGUGCGAACGUUGUUCGGAAUCACUGGGCUUAAAGGGCGCGUAGGCGGGUGUGCAAGUCUGUGGUGAAAGCCCCCAGCUUAACCGGGGAAGUGCCAUGGAUACUGCACAUCUUGAGGAGGGUAGGGGCAUCUGGAACGGUCGGUGGAGCGGUGAAAUGCGUUGAUAUCGACCGGAACUCCGGUGGCGAACGCGAGGUGCUGGACCCUUUCUGACGCUGAUGCGCGAAAGCCACGGAGCGAACGGGAUUAGAUACCCCGGUAGUCC
rnacentral:rRNA from 1 species